rnacentral:rRNA from 1 species
UGGUUGGGGAUGGACUCGCGGCCUAUCAGCUUGUUGGUGAGGUAAUGGCUCACCAAGGCGACGACGGGUAGCCGGCCUGAGAGGGUGACCGGCCACACUGGGACUGAGACACGGCCCAGACUCCUACGGGAGGCAGCAGUGGGGAAUAUUGCACAAUGGGCGAAAGCCUGAUGCAGCAACGCCGCGUGAGGGAUGACGGCCUUCGGGUUGUAAACCUCUUUUAGUAGGGAAGAAGCGAAAGUGACGGUACCUGCAGAAAAAGCACCGGCUAACUACGUGCCAGCAGCCGCGGUAAUACGUAGGGUGCAAGCGUUGUCCGGAAUUAUUGGGCGUAAAGAGCUCGUAGGCGGUUUGUCGCGUCUGCUGUGAAAUCCCGAGGCUCAACCUCGGGCUUGCAGUGGGUACGGGCAGACUAGAGUGCGGUAGGGGAGAUUGGAAUUCCUGGUGUAGCGGUGGAAUGCGCAGAUAUCAGGAGGAACACCGAUGGCGAAGGCAGAUCUCUGGGCCGUAACUGACGCUGAGGAGCGAAAGCAUGGGGAGCGAACAGGAUUAGAUACCCUGGUAGUCCAUGCCGUAAACGUUGGGCGCUAGAUGUAGGGACCUUUCCACGGUUUCUGUGUCGUAGCU